rnacentral:sRNA from 1 species
AAGAAGAGAAAUAAAAGA